rnacentral:misc_RNA from 1 species
UUCUUUAAACAAUAUCUUCUCUUCUCUGUCUUUCUUCUCCUGAAGGGUAGAAGAGGUUUGGAGGCCUCUUUUUUGGUUAAUAUACUCAUUAUAGUACACAUCACUAGCUGCUGGAAGAGAGUUUGAAGCAAAGAAUUUGGAUUCUCCAAUGAGGAGAAUGAUGAUGAGGUUGCCAAUUAUGAAAAUAAACUUGGGACUGAGGAAAACAGAACUGAAUUUUGGAAGAGAGACAAAGAGAGAGAGCUUGGUGGAAGAAAAUAGGGAGGGGAACCAAAAGGGGCUAGAACAGAAAAGACUGCAAGUUAACAGUGUCACAUACCGGAAAAAAUUGUGAAGGACUUGAUGCAUCUUUGACCUCUUAAUUGCGUGUACCUUUCGGAGUUGGAUCAGAUCCAUUUUAGUUGUAUAUUUGAUUUUGAGGAGGUGUAAGCAGGGGUUUGAGAUCUGGUUUGUAAUUUCAC